AUUGAACGCUGGCGGCAGGCCUAACACAUGCAAGUCGAGCGGUUGAAGGGAGCUUGCUCCCUGAUUCAGCGGCGGACGGGUGAGUAAUGCCUAGGAAUCUGCCUAUUAGUGGGGGACAACGUUUCGAAAGGAACGCUAAUACCGCAUACGUCCUACGGGAGAAAGCAGGGGACCUUCGGGCCUUGCGCUAAUAGAUGAGCCUAGGUCGGAUUAGCUAGUUGGUGAGGUAAUGGCUCACCAAGGCGACGAUCCGUAACUGGUCUGAGAGGAUGAUCAGUCACACUGGAACUGAGACACGGUCCAGACUCCUACGGGAGGCAGCAGUGGGGAAUAUUGGACAAUGGGCGAAAGCCUGAUCCAGCCAUGCCGCGUGUGUGAAGAAGGUCUUCGGAUUGUAAAGCACUUUAAGUUGGGAGGAAGGGCAGUAAGUUAAUACCUUGCUGUUUUGACGUUACCGACAGAAUAAGCACCGGCUAACUCUGUGCCAGCGGCCGCCGUAAUAC
rnacentral:rRNA from 1 species